rnacentral:lncRNA from 1 species
UCCUGGUCCCAGCUGUGGCAGACAGGUAUGAAGGGCACCAAAAGCCCUCACCCAGGUGGACCCAAUCCCCUUGACCUUCACCCAGAGGUGGACCUCGAACCCUGGUGGACCUUGUAACCUGGUGACCCUCACCCAGAGGUGGGCUGCAAUCCUGGUUACCCUCACCCAGAGGUGACCCUCAUCCUGUACCAUUGACCCUCACGCAGAAGUGGACCCCAAACGCUGGUGACCCUCACCCAGAGGUGGGCUUCAACCCUGGUGACCUUCAUGCAGAGGUGGACCCUCUCCCCUUGACCUUCACCCAGAGGUGGACCUUGAAACCCAGUGACCCUCACCCAGAGGUGGGCUUCAACCCUGGUGACCUUCAUGCAGAGGUGGACCCUCUCCCCUUGACCUUCACCCAGAGGUGGACCUUGAAACCCAGUGACCCUCACCCAGAGGUGGGCUCCAAUCCUGGUAACCCUCACCCCAUACCCUUGACCCUCACCCAGAAGUGGGCCCCACACCCUGGUGACCCUCACCCAGAGGUGGACCUCAAACCUUGUUGGACCUUGAAACCCUGAUGACUCUCACCCAGAGGUGGGCUCCAACCCUGGUGGCCCUCACACCGUCCCUGGUCACCUUCAACCAGAAGUGGACCUCGUACCCUUGGCCUUUACCUGGGAGUGGACCCCAAACCCCGGUGACCCUCAGCCAGAGGUGGGCUCUGAUGGCAGUGAUUCUUGCCCACAGGUGGAGCCUGUCCCUGGUGACCUGCAACCCCAGUGCCCCUUGCCCAGAGGUGGGCUCUGACCCCUGCAUCCCUCACACGUGGAGCCCGGGCACUCCCGUCUCCCACCCUGCGCUCGCUCCCACCCCCGUCCCGGCGGUUCCCGGCAGCGCCUGGCCGGGUGACAGCAGGCAGAGUAAACACCCCGGCCCCGCUCCGCCUGCCCCACGCCUCACCCGCCCCACGGCGACCCACCUCGCAGGGUGCCCGGACAGGGGGUCCGGUGGCCACCGCAGCCCCAGGGACCAGGGUGGUAGCCCAACUUGCCCGAGGAACAGUUGGCAGCGGCUGGAGCCACCAGCAGCGGGGUCAAACACCGCCGGACGUGUCCCCCCCCACGGCCGGCCCCGUCCCUGCGGACGUGACAAGUCACAAAUGGUCCCCGCUGGCACCCUCAGCCCCUCGGCCAGCGCUGGCCCCACGCCAGCCCCCCCCUCUGCAGUGCUGGUGCCCCCCACUCCCUGCCUGCCCUCCUGAUUAGCCAAAUGAACCCAUGGGGGGGGGAAACUGGGGGGCAGCUGGGACUAGGGUGCCUAAAAUAGACCCUCCUUCACCCCAAAAUGCUCCUUUUUCAGCUGUGCCAGAAGUGGGCAGGCAGCAGGAGCCCCCCCCCACCCCUGCCUCUGGGCAAGCUGGUGUUCCCAUCGCUGGGAAGGGGUGAUGCCAGCGUUGGCUGCCCCUGCCAGGUGAAGGGGGGUGUUGUGGGGGGGGGACAGACCCUCAGACCCUGCUCCUGGCUUGCCAUGCUCCCCCCACCA